rnacentral:rRNA from 1 species
UACGGGGGGGGCAAGCGUUGUUCGGAAUUACUGGGCGUAAAGGGCUCGUAGGUGGCCAACUAAGUCAGACGUGAAAUCCCUCGGCUUAACCGGGGAACUGCGUCUGAUACUGGAUGGCUUGAGUUCGGGAGAGGGAUGCGGAAUUCCAGGUGUAGCGGUGAAAUGCGUAGAUAUCUGGAGGAACACCGGUGGCGAAGGCGGCAUCCUGGACCGAAACUGACACUGAGGCGCGAAAGCCAGGGGAGCAAACGGG